rnacentral:rRNA from 1 species
AACGAACGCUGGCGGCAGGCCUAACACAUGCAAGUCGAGCGAGACCUUCGGGUCUAGCGGCGGACGGGUUAGUAACGCGUGGGAACGUGCCCUUCUCUGCGGAAUAGCCACUGGAAACGGUGAGUAAUACCGCAUACGCCCUUCGGGGAAAGAUUUAUCGGAGAAGGAUCGGCCCGCGUUAGAUUAGAUAGUUGGUGGGUAACGGCCUACCAAGUCUACGAUCUAUAGCUGGUUUUAGAGGAUGAUCAGCAACACUGGGACUGAGACACGGCCCAGACUCCUACGGGAGGCAGCAGUGGGGAAUCUUAGACAAUGGGCGCAAGCCCGAUCUAGCCAUGCCGCGUGUGUGAUGAAGGUCUUAGGAUCGUAAAGCACUUUCGCCAGGGAUGAUAAUGACAGUACCUGGUAAAGAAACCCCGGCUAACUCCGUG